rnacentral:rRNA from 2 species
GGGUUGUGAGGUUAAGCGACUAAGCGUACACGGUGGAUGCCCUGGCAGUCAGAGGCGAUGAAGGGCGUGCUAAUCUGCGAUAAGCGCCGGUAAGGUGAUAUGAACCGUUAUAACCGGCGAUACCCGAAUGGGGAAACCCAGUGUGAUUCGUCACACUAUCAUUAACUGAAUCCAUAGGUUAAUGAGGCGAACCGGGGGAACUGAAACAUCUAAGUACCCCGAGGAAAAGAAAUCAACCGAGAUUCCCCCAGUAGCGGCGAGCGAACGGGGAGGAGCCCAGAGCCUGAAUCAGCAUGUGUGUUAGUGGAAGCGUCUGGAAAGGCGCGCGAUACAGGGUGACAGCCCCGUACACAAAAGCGCAUAUGCUGUGAGCUCGAUGAGUAGGGCGGGACACGUGGUAUCCUGUCUGAAUAUGGGGGGACCAUCCUCCAAGGCUAAAUACUCCUGACUGACCGAUAGUGAACCAGUACCGUGAGGGAAAGGCGAAAAGAACCCCGGCGAGGGGAGUGAAAAAGAACCUGAAACCGUGUACGUACAAGCAGUGGGAGCCCCACCACUAAGCCAGUGGUGAACUCCACAUACGCAUCCUUUGCUGAGGAGACGGUUAACGGAGCGAAAGCGACGUUCAACCUCAAAAGAAGCAGAGGGGGCUUAGUGGUGGGGUGACUGCGUACCUUUUGUAUAAUGGGUCAGCGACUUAUAUUCUGUAGCAAGGUUAACUGUAUAGGGGAGCCGGAGGGAAACCGAGUCUUAACCGGGCGUUAAGUUGCAGGGUAUAGACCCGAAACCCGGUGAUCUAGCCAUGGGCAGGUUGAAGGUUGGGUAACACUAACUGGAGGACCGAACCGACUAAUGUUGAAAAAUUAGCGGAUGACCUGUGGCUGGGGGUGAAAGGCCAAUCAAACCGGGAGAUAGCUGGUUCUCCCCGAAAGCUAUUUAGGUAGCGCCUCGUGAAUUCAUCUCCGGGGGUAGAGCACUGUUUCGGCUAGGGGGCCAUCCCGGCUUACCAACCCGAUGCAAACUGCGAAUACCGGAGAAUGUUAUCACGGGAGACACACGGCGGGUGCUAAUGUCCGUCGUGAAGAGGGAAACAACCCAGACCGCCAGCUAAGGUCCCAAAGUCAUGGUUAAGUGGGAAACGAUGUGGGAAGGCCCAGACAGCCAGGAUGUUGGCUUAGAAGCAGCCAUCAUUUAAAGAAAGCGUAAUAGCUCACUGGUCGAGUCGGCCUGCGC